CAAAUACUCCCUCCGUCUGGAAAUACUUGUCAUCAAAAUAGAUAAAAGGAAAUGUAUCUAGACGUAUUUUAGUUUUAGAUACAUCUCUUUUUAUCCAUUUUGAUGACAAGUAUUUUUGGACGGAGGGAGUAGAAA
rnacentral:pre_miRNA from 1 species